CUCUCUCUCCCACUUUCUCUCACUUCUCUUUUCUCUUUAAUUCAUCCUUGGUUGCUUUCCUGUUUUCUAGGGUUUCCAUGAAGCUCUAGCAUCAUUCCAACGGGAUUACUCUGAAAGCUCUGAUCUUUCAAACAUUUCAUGGGCAUUUCUUAAGUUUCUUUCUUCACCCAUUUUCUGGAGCUUUUCCAAUUUCUCAUUGGAGUUUGGCUCGUUUUGAACUUCACACAGAUUUUGGUGCUUCAAAGGUUCUGGAGAUGGAGGAGGUCAAGAAACCUGAGAUUCAUAUGACAUCAGUUGCAGCUUUUGUGGAAGGAGGAAUUCAGGAUACCUGUGAAGAUGCUUGCAGCAUUUGCCUUGAGGAAUUUUGCGAAAGCGAACCUUCAACGGUGACUAACUGCAGGCAUGAGUAUCACCUCCAGUGCAUCCUUGAAUGGUGUCAGAGAAGCUCUGAGUGUCCCAUGUGUUUGCAAGCUCUCAGUCUGAAGGAUCCCACGAGUCAAGAAUUGCUGGAGGGAGUAGAGCAGGAGAGGAAGUUCAGAGUUGCUUCAUCUAGAAAUCCCACUAUAUUUCGUCAUCCUACACUUGGGGGUUUUGAAUUACGACAUUUACCAGUUGGUGCAAGUGAUUCUGAUCUUGAAGAGCGUAUAAUCCAGCACUUGGCUGCUGCAGCUGCUAUGGGAAGGUCCCACCACUUCAGUCGGAGAGAAGGCCAAAGAAAUAGGCAAUCCUCCCAUGGUCGUCCACACUACAUGGUGUUUUCUACACAUCCUGGUGCACCAUCUUCUGACCAUGUUUCUUCCUCAAUGACUCGGGUAGGAGGGGAAAAUGAGCCAGCUACUGUAGCUGUAGCUAGUCGAUCGACUCGAAUUGAAUUUCAUGGGGAUGAAAUGCCACAAGAAACUGUGCAAUUUCCUCCUGCUGUGACGGGCCAAAGUUCAUCUGUAUCUCGAUCUACCAUCAUUUCUACAAAUCGUCGAGGAAUGUCCUUUAAUAAUCGUGCUGCUAGCCAUUCUUCAUCACCGAAUGAAGACAGAGGAGGACCAUCAGAACUUCAGUCAGGGUCUUUCAAAUCUAGACUCAAUGCAGUGUCAAUAAGAUACAGAGAGUCUAUUUCAAGAAGUACAAGAGGGUGGAAGGAAAGGCUGUUCUCUCGUAGCAGUUCGGUGUCAGAUCUUGGUUCUGAACUCAGGAGAGAAGUGAAUGCUGGAAUUGCGAGUGUAUCUCGUAUGAUGGAGUGCAUUGAAACCAGAGAUAAUAGACGAGCUAACCGAGCCUCCAUACCAACUCAUUCAACUGAAUAUUUGGUUGCAGAAAGGAGCAACCAAAAUAGUAGUCACAUUCGCAGACAGAGCACUAGAAAUGAAAGCAAAACACCGGCUUCUUAUGGUGCAAGCUCAGCUUCUUCUUAAGAGUUAAUGAUUGUUUCAGGGUAUCUGUCCUCAGCAUUUCAUCUUUGAAGGUUGUAAACUGCUUUUCUCCAAAUAUGACAUGCUGAGGAAAAGAUACUUUGAUAUUAGAGGCUGGGAAGUGAUCAUUCGCCUGAAACCCAAUAAGAGAGGUAAGAUGAAAUCUUGAGAAAGAUUCCAAAGAUACUAUGUAAAUUUGUUUGACACCCAGAUUUGUUUCCUAGGCAGAAAAAUUAUUUUAAAAAAGACCAAAAAAAAAAGAAAAAAAAAGAAGAGGAACAUGUAUUUGAACUAUGUCUGGAUUGUUUGACUGUGGCACAAAUUGAAUAGUAAUAUAUAUCUAGUAAUACAUAUCGGUAAAAUUCUUAA